UACAGAGGGUGCGAGCGUUGUCCGGAAUCACUGGGCGUAAAGGGCGCGUAGGUGGCGCCCCAAGUCGAUGGUGAAAGCUCGCCGCUCAACGGCGAGUCGGCCACCGAUACUGGGGGGCUCGAGCACUGUAGAGGCUAAUGGAAUUCCGGGUGUAGCGGUGGAAUGCGUAGAGAUCCGGAAGAACACCGGUGGCGAAGGCGGUUAGCUGGGCAGUUGCUGACACUGAGGUGCGACAGCGUGGGGAGCAAACAGG
rnacentral:rRNA from 1 species